UAGAAUGAAAUACUGAAAAACAAUUUGCGUCAAUCAUCUUUAUUCAAAGUACCAAACUACCAAAGAAUAACGUAUUGAGGGAAAAUGGAUAAAAGCUUUAUGACAACAAUUGACUCCAAAUCAGUUUGUGUGUGAGAAGCACUUUCGCGAAGAAGAUAUUAAGAAAGCUGAUCGAUUGAUUAUUAAUGGAGCUGAAAUUAUCAUCCCUCGCGAAAGGUGGAC
rnacentral:misc_RNA from 1 species